GUCCUCGUAGCUCAAAGGACAGAGCAAUCGCCUCCUAAGCGAUCGAUCACGGUUCGACUCCGUGCGGGGACA
rnacentral:tRNA from 1 species